AACGAACGCUGGCGGCAUGCCUAACACAUGCAAGUCGAACGAGAUCUUCGGGUCUAGUGGCGCACGGGUGCGUAACGCGUGGGAAUCUGCCCUUUGGUUCGGAAUAACAGUUGGAAACGACUGCUAAUACCGGAUGAUGACGAAAGUCCAAAGAUUUAUCGCCAGAGGAUGAGCCCGCGUAGGAUUAGCUAGUUGGUGUGGUAAAGGCGCACCAAGGCGACGAUCGUUAGCUGGUCUGAGAGGAUGAUCAGCCACACUGGGACUGAGACACGGACCAGACUCCUACGGGAGGCAGCAGUGGGGAAUAUUGGACAAUGGGCGAAAGCCUGAUCCAGCAAUGCCGCGUGAGUGAUGAAGGCCUUAGGGUUGUAAAGCUCUUUUACCCGGGAUGAUAAUGACAGUACCGGGAGAAUAAGCUCCGGCUAACUCCGUGCCAGCAGCCGCCGUAA
rnacentral:rRNA from 1 species